rnacentral:rRNA from 1 species
AGUGAACGCUGGCGGUAGGCCUAACACAUGCAAGUCGAACGGCAGCACAGGAGAGCUUGCUCUCUGGGUGGCGAGUGGCGGACGGGUGAGGAAUACAUCGGAAUCUACUCUGUCGUGGGGGAUAACGGAGGGAAACUUACGCUAAUACCGCAUACGACCUACGGGUGAAAGCAGUGGACAUUCGGGCCUUGCUAGAUUGAAUGAGCCGAUGUCGGAUUAGCUAGUUGGCGGGGUAAAGGCCCACCAAGGCGACGAUCCGUAGCUGGUCUGAGAGGAUGAUCAGCCACACUGGAACUGAGACACGGUCCAGACUCCUACGGGAGGCAGCAGUGGGGAAUAUUGGACAAUGGGCGCAAGCCUGAUCCAGCCAUACCGCGUGGGUGAAGAAGGCCUUCGGGUUGUAAAGCCCUUUUGUUGGGAAAGAAAUCCAGCUGGCUAAUACCCGGUUGGGAUGACGGUACCCAAAGAAUAAGCACCGGCUAACUUCGUGCCAGCCGCCGCCGUAA